GUGGGGAAUCUUAGACAAUGGGCGCAAGCCUGAUCUAGCCAUGCCGCGUGAUCGAUGAAGGCCUUAGGGUUGUAAAGAUCUUUCAGGUGGGAAGAUAAUGACUGUACCACCAGAAGAAGCCCCGGCUAACUCCGUGCCAGCAGCCGCGGUAAUACGGAGGGGGCUAGCGUUGUUCGGAAUUACUGGGCGUAAAGCGCACGUAGGCGGAUUGGAAAGUUGGGGGUGAAAUCCCGGGGCUCAACCCCGGAACUGCCUUCAAAACUCCCAGUCUUGAGUUCGAGAGAGGUGAGUGGAAUUCCGAGUGUAGAGGUGAAAUUCGUAGAUAUUCGGAGGAACACCAGUGGCGAAGGCGGCUCACUGGCUCGAUACUGACGCUGAGGUGCGAAAGCGUGGGGAGCAAACAGGAUUAGAUACCCUUGUAGUCC
rnacentral:rRNA from 1 species